rnacentral:rRNA from 1 species
AACCUGCCCCAUAGUCUGGGAUACCACUUGGAAACAGGUGCUAAUACCGGAUAAGAAAGCGGAUCGCAUGAUCAGCUUUUAAAAGGCGGCGUAAGCUGUCGCUAUGGGAUGGCCCCGCGGUGCAUUAGCUAGUUGGUAAGGUAAAGGCUUACCAAGGCGAUGAUGCAUAGCCGAGUUGAGAGACUGAUCGGCCACAUUGGGACUGAGACACGGCCCAAACUCCUACGGGAGGCAGCAGUC